rnacentral:sRNA from 1 species
UAACUUAAGCAUAUCAAUAAGCGGAGGAAAAGAAACCAACAGGGAUUACCUUAGUAACGGCGAGUGAAGCGGUAACGGCUCAAAUUUGAAAUCUGGCACCCGCCCGAGUUGUAAUUUGCAGAGGAUGCUUCGGCUACGCCCCGGUCCAAGUCCGUUGGAACACGGCGUCGCAGAGGGUGAGAAUCCCGUCGCGACCGGCGGCCCCGCCAUGUGAAGCUCCUUCGACGAGUCGAGUUGUUUGGGAAUGCAGCUCAAAAUGGGAGGUAAAUUUCUUCUAAAGCUAAAUAUUGGCCCGAGACCGAUAGCGCACAAGUAGAGUGAUCGAAAGAUGAAAAGCAUCUUGGAAAGGAAUCGAAACAGCACGUGAAAUUGUUAAAGGGGAAGCGCUAGCGAUGAGACUUAUCGCGGCCGCUCACCGGGGCUUCUGCCCCGGGCACGCGGUCGCGUUGGCCCGCAUCGGUUUGGGCGGCGGGAGAAACGCCAACGGAAUGUGGCCCCCCUCGGGGGGUGUUAUAGCCGUGGUGCAAUACCGCCCGCCCGGACCGAGGCACGCGUUCGCUCGGAUGCGGGCUUAAUCGUCGUUAGCGGCCCGUCUUGAAACACGGACCAAGGAGUCGACCAACUACGCGAGUGUUCGGGUGUUAAGCCCGUGCGCGGAAUGAAAGUGAUCAAGGUGCGACCGUUGUUGCAGCAUCGCCCGGUCCUGAAGUUUACGGAUGGAUCUGAGGAAGAGCGUAGGUGGUCGGACCCGAAAGAUGGUGAACUAUGCCUGAAUAGGGUGAAGUCAGAGGAAACUCUGAUGGAGGCUCGCAGCGGUUCUGACGUGCAAAUCGAUCGUCAAAUCUGGGCAUAGGGGCGAAAGACUAAUCGAACCGUCUAGUAGCUGGGUUCCUGCCGAGUC